GUCGAGCGGUAGAGAGGUGCUUGCACCUCUUGAGAGCGGCGGACGGGCGAGUAAAGCCUAGGAAUCUGCCUGGUAGUGGGGGAUAACGCUCGGAAACGGACGCUAAUACCGCAUACGUCCUACGGGAGAAAGCAGGGGACCUUCGGGCCUUGCGCUAUCAGAUGAGCCUAGGUCGGAUUAGCUAGUUGGUGAGGUAAUGGCUCACCAAGGCGACGAUCCGUAACUGGUCUGAGAGGAUGAUCAGUCACACUGGAACUGAGACACGGUCCAGACUCCUACGGGAGGCAGCAGUGGGGAAUAUUGGACAAUGGGCGAAAGCCUGAUCCAGCCAUGCCGCGUGUGUGAAGAAGGUCUUCGGAUUGUAAAGCACUUUAAGUUGGGAGGAAGGGCAUUAACCUAAUACGUUAGUGUUUUGACGUUACCGACAGAAUAAGCACCGGCUAACUCUGUGCCAGCAGCCGCGGUAAUACAGAGGGUGCAAGCGUUAAUCGGAAUUACUGGGCGUAAAGCGCGCGUAGGUGGUUCGUUAAGUUGGAUGUGAAAUCCCCGGGCUCAACCUGGGAACUGCAUUCAAAACUGUCGAGCUAGAGUAUGGUAGAGGGUGGUGGAAUUUCCU
rnacentral:rRNA from 1 species